GCAUCGAAUACUACACCAGCUAUGGCUUCAGUGACAAUAAUCCGGGAUCAGACGAUCUUGAUGUGAACGCCAACAGAGGUUUGGCUCCAGUUCAGGGCCAUUACGAUGACGUUGAGACUGAAUCUCACGAUUGCCAGUCUCAAUUGGAAAGUAAUCCCGAUGAAUCCCUCGCACUGACAAAUGCUGACAAUGGUCUUUGUUCACUCGGUUAAUGUUAGAGUCUAUUUCAGCAUGGGCUGUGCCGAGGCAGAUAAUAUUGCAAGAAACCGUCCACUAACAUUUUUAACAUGCUGAGCAUCCUUUUUCUCAAUACCAGCUUCACUUGAUUGUAUUUCAUCAGCAUUUACUUUGUAUUGGACAAACUAUAUUUGCAUUCAUUUGUUUAUUUUUGUUUAAUCGUGUGUUUUGCCAUGACUUAAAAUGGGAAGUGAGCAGGUUGGAUCGAUUAUUAUUGUGUUUGUAUUAAUCAUCUAAUUCAUUUCUCUGUAUGGAUGAAUUGCCUCUGUAUUGGGGGCGAAGUUCCUGUCGUUUGUUAAUGAAGCAUUAUAAGGCAUUCCAUGUGUAAAUUUUUUGCUUUUUCAUACCUCACGAGGGAGAAUUUAAAACGUCUUGAAUCAAACAAUUGCCCUAACUAUUAUUUCGCUGUCAAUUGACUGAAAUUUCCCUUUCAUUGCUAUA